UCAUUCUUUUCCUCCUCCUUGGCUGGAGGUACCCACAGCAGCACCUGGUGGCUCUCCCAGCUUCAUCAGGCCUCCCGCCUCCCUCGGAAUUGUCUCAGAUACUUCCUGCACGUUUGCACUUAUGUUGGCUUCUGCUUUCCUGUGGGUGAUGGUGUUGAAUGGGCUGCUGAGGAACAGCCAGAGCAUGGUAUUUCGUGAAGACCAAAACAUGGGAUUACUGGUGCAGUGUGGCUACUUUCAUCCUGGAGAGGAGAGAGGCUCUUGAAACUCAUAAAAUUACAAGAACUCAAGAAUGUGAGAAGACUCAGGAAGUCCCGCCCCAAUUUAUACUUAACACAAGCCAUAAACAGCCGCCAGAGGAGGAGCUUUUGGGAAUGCUCCUUCUUCUCUAGUCACUGAAAACCGAAGUCAUACUGAGACCUCUGGUAGGCUCCUGUCUCCUCUCUACCCACUGACCAGCAAAGGGAACAUCUGAGGAUGACCUUCUGCCCACAAGGAUGGAUAGCCUGGUUUGGUGUCCAGCUGACUAACCCCCAGGUGUCUCCAGAAGUCAUACCUUUUAAAACUUUCCAUGACUGCUUUUGCCUACAACUGUAAUGUGCCCUAAACCCUCCAUUUACUGUGUAGUGUAAAUACUGAGUGGUUAGAUUUUAACUACAAAGAUACUGUAUUUCAAGUAAUCACAGAGACACAAAAAGGACACUUGUCUGACUGGAUAGAGAAAUAUGUGGAAUUCAUGCCACCUAAUUUAUGGAGCAUUCAUUGUUCUAGGUUCCAGGUAUUUAGGCAUGAAUAAGAUAAAUAACAUACCUAGUCUCCUGGAGUUUAUCUUUUGAAAGGAUUAAACAAUUUAUAAUCUAUAAGCAUACUGUUUAAAACAAGGAGUCCAAGUGGGGAUAAUAAAGAGCAAAUGUAUUCAUUGUAGCCAGUAUUUUGAGGUUGGUUACCAGCACCCAUGGCUGCCCACUCACACUGCCUAUUAAGUACUACCAAACUAGUGAUUCAGUCUUAACAAUCACACCCACUAUCAAGCACACCUCGAAACCCGAGAGACUGUGAGCAUCCAGUGAAAAUCUGAAAGCAGAAACUAAUUGUACCUACACAUGGGACAUUCUAGGACAAAUAUGUGGUUAGAAAUGUUUUAUGUUUAUUUAUACUAAUAAAAAUUCUAUUCUCCUUAAA